rnacentral:lncRNA from 1 species
UUUUAGAUUUGGUGGCUUCUGAAGAGAGGACAUUUAAGCUGCUAUAUGAACACCAAGGAACCAACCUUCUGAAGAUCUGUGGUUAUGUCCCUGGCAGAGGGAACACUAAGAGUUGUACACUCAAAGCAAAUCUGUGUGGGGAUGAAGAGUCAGGAUCCAAUGGCCAUCUGUUUUACCAACAGGAGAAAAGGAGCUCCCACACUGGCAAAACUUCAAAGGUUUGAGUGACAUCAGCAUCAUGGCGGAGUGAGCUGUUGCCUGAUAUUCUCCUGUCUGGUAUACAAAAGAGGAUAUUUAGAUACUAACAGAGGACAUUCACACAGCACAAAAGAUGUCUCAGAGAUGAAAGCAGCCACAUGUCUGAAGGUGGAGGUACUGGAUCCCUUGGAGGAAAGGGAAGGAGCCCCCCGGUACAUAGUUGUAUAUUCUUCGAUGUGGGUCCUUCUACUUGUGGCAUGUGGGACGCUGCCUCAACGUGGUCUGAUGAGCAGUGUCAUGUCCGCGCCCAGGAUUUGAACCAACGAAACACGGGGCCGCCUGCAGCGGAGCGCGUGAACCUAACCGCUCGGCCACGGGGCCAGCCCCAAAAUGCAACUGAUUUUUGACUGUCGAGGUUCCAAAUGGACACUAAUCCGUUAGCCUGAGUCCCCCAAGGAAGAGGAUGUGGAGCAGAGCCACCGUUGACCUGCUGUGGACAUGUGGUGUGUGAGAUAUAAACCUUCGCUGUGGUAAGCCACUGAGAGUCUGGAUCACUCAUUCACAGAUGUAACCUUCUUUGUCCUGACUGAUGCAUGACUUAAUGCCGUUAUAAGAUAAAUUUCCCAAGACGAAGUCAACCACAGGCUUCCUCAGCACCUCAGAGAGCAGGCCUCGAAGGGGGUCCAGGGUGGAACCCCUGUGCAAGACAGACCUUCUGCAAGGUCCAGUUACAGCACUCGCCACCUAUGAGACCUUGAGCAAUUCUCUUCCUCUGGCUCCUCAUCCCUAAAAUGGGAUAUUGGGAGUGCUGGGUAAAUACGAUAACACACAUGAAGAUUUUUUUUCUCUGGGCACAUUAUACUGCUCAGAGGGAAACCUCAAUACAUUUUCCCUAAUAUUAAUCAGAGCCUUGGUCCCAACUCAUUAGGGUGGGAAGCAUUUCUGAUUGACAGUAGGAGGAGAUAAAGUGUCCUUGACGCCUGACCACCCUGGAUGGGAUUCAAUCCCAUCUCUGUCAGUAUCA